GGCAUGGUAGCCGAGUGGUAAAGCGCUUAUUUUAGUCGGUAACCAAUAUCAAUGGUUCGAAUCCAUUCCGGAGCAAGUUA